AAGAGUGCGUAACAGCUCACUGGUCGAGUGAUUUUGCGUCUAAAAUGAACGGGGCUUAAGCCUUUAACCGAAACCAUGGGUUCGUUUUAACUUCGGUUAAAACGAGCAGUAGAGGAGCAUACUGUCAUGCGAUGAAGGCGUACCGUAAGGAGCGCUGGAGUAGACAGUAGUGAUAAUGUUGGUAUGAGUAGCGAAAACUACGGCGAGAAACUGUAGCGCUGAGAAUCUAAGGUUUCCUGGGGAAGGUUAAUCCACCCAGGGUUAGUCGAUCCUAAGCUGAGGCCGAAAGGCGUAAGUGAUGGAUGUCCGGUUAAUAUUCCGGAACCGGUUAUGAACGUUAUUAGCUUAUGAUGACGCAGAAGGCUAGGUGAGCGAAGUGUUGGACGUCUUCGUUGAAACCCGUAGUCCCAUUGAAAGAUGGGAUGAGAGGUGACCUCGAGCCCGCGGUACGCCAAAGGCGAAGUCAUCAAGGCCAUAUUGCCGAGAAAAACUCAUAAGUCAGUCUCAUAACCGAUCGUACCGUAAUCCGACACAGGUAGAUGCCCAUAGAAUGGGAAGGCGCUCGAGAUAACUCUCCUUAAGGAACUAGGCAAAAUGACCCCGUAACUUCGGGAAAUGGGGUGUCUUGUCAAGUGUAGGUGUUUACCACCGAAGCUUGGCGGGAUCACAGUAAAGAGGCCCGGUCGACUGUUUAGUAAAAACACAUCACUCUGCGAAGUCGAAAGACAAUGUAUAGGGUGUGACACCUGCCCGGUGCUGGAAGGUUAAGUGGAGCGGUUAGUCCGCCGCAAGGCGAGACAAAGCUGCGAAAUGAAGCCCCAGUAAACGGCGGCCGUAACUAUAGAAUAGACCACUGUAGUUGUAAAAUUUGGCUAUAUGCUGGAACGUCCUGUAAGGCUGACAGUACAUUCUCUCGCGUUGAGAGAAUUGUGACAAUCUGUCAGAUAGGGAUAAUCAGCAGGAAAGAUCUGAAAAUGAAUCCAGAAAUUGGUUAUUAUCUUGCCGGUUUUACGGAUGGAGAAGGAAGUUUUAAUAUUUCUUUUCGUCCUCGACAAGAUUACAAAAUUCCUUGGAAAGUUUCUCUGUGUUUUAAUGUCUCUCAGAAAGAUAAAGUUAUUUUAGCUCUAUUUAAACAUCAUCUAGGGUGCGGAACUUUACGUGGGCGUCCAGAUGGUGUUUGGUAUUAUGAGGUAAAUAAUUUUAAUGCUAUUCGAGAAAAGGUUAUUCCUUUUUUUAAAAAGUUUCACUUUCUUUCAGCUAAGAAAAAACGCGAUUUCGCGAAAUUUUGUCAGGCUGUGGAGAUGAUAGAAAAAGGUAAGCACCUAAACUACGAGGGCAUAAAAGAGAUAUUAGAAUUACGCAGGGAAAUGAAUGAUGGAGGGAAUCGUAAAUAUACUGAAAUGUAUAUCCUCCAAAGUUUUCAGAAAUCCUCAGAGACUAUACGCCAAAUCCCUCUUAACAGAGGGAAUGAUAUAGUCCGGUCUUCCGAGAAAUCGGAAGUCAUCGUUGUCAAAAACGAUGAGCCUGGAUGAGAAUUCAACCAGGUUAACAUAAACGAACGGUCCUAAGGUAGCGAAAUUCCUUGUGGGGUAAGUUCCCACGCGCACGAAUGGUGUAACGAAUUGGGCGCUGUCUCAAGGAGAGACUCGGCGAAAUUGUAGUGGCGGUGAAGAUGCCGCCUACCCGCAUCAAGACGAAAAGACCCCGGAACCUUUACUGCAUUCUGGUAUUGAAUUUGGGUGUUGUUUGUGUAGCAUAGGUGGGAGGCUUUGAAGUCCCGGCGUUAGCUGGGAUGGAGCCGUCAGUGAAAUACCACCCUAAUGACUCUUAGGUUCUAACUUCGAUUCCUUUUAUCAGGACGAAAAACAGUGCCAGAUGGGCAGUUUGACUGGGGCGGUUCCCGUUUAAAGAGUAACAACGGGGUCCAAAGGUUCCCUCAAGACGGUUGGCAAUCGUCUGUAGAGUAUAAAGGCAUAAGGGAGCUUAACUGUGAGUCCGACGGGACGAACAGAUACGAAAGUAGGGCUUAGUGAUCCGGUGGUUGAUUAUGGGAUUGCCAUCGCUCAACGGAUAAUAGGUACUCCGGGGAUAACAGGCUGAUAGCGCUCGAGAGUUCAUAUCGACAGCGCUGUUUGGCACCUCGAUGUCGGCUCAUCCUAUCCUGGGGCUGAAUAAGGUCCCAAGGGUCCGGCUGUUCGCCGGUUAAAAGGGUACGCGAGCUGGGUUUAGAACGUCGUGAGACAGUUCGGUAUCUAUCUGGUGUGGGCGCGCGAUACUUG
rnacentral:rRNA from 1 species